CUACGGGGGGCACCAGUGAGGAAUAUUGCACAAUGGAGGAAACUCUGAUGCAGCAACGCCGCGUGGAGGAUGACGCAUUUCGGUGUGUAAACUCCUUUUAUAUGUCAAGAAAAUGACGGUAGCAUAUGAAUAAGCACCGGCUAACUCCGUGCCAGCAGCCGCGGUAAUACGGAGGGUGCAAGCGUUACUCGGAAUCACUGGGCGUAAAGGACGCGUAGGCGGGAUAUCAAGUCAGGUGUGAAAUCCUACAGCUUAACUGUAGAACUGCACUUGAAACUGGUAACCUAGAGUAUGGGAGGGGGAGAUGGAAUUAGUGGUGUAGGGGUAAAAUCCGUAGAUAUCACUAGGAAUACCUAAAGCGAAGGCGAUCUCCUGGAACAUAACUGACGCUAAGGCGUGAAAGCGUGGGGAGCAAACAGGAUUAGAUACCCCGGUAGUC
rnacentral:rRNA from 1 species